GUACCCACUACCCGAUCAACAGAACUUAUUGUUCCGAUGGGUGUGGGCUUUCGAUUAAGCUCUUGUUGCCUACGGAUUAGACGUACUGCUCUUAGGGCAUUAUUAGUUACUAGCACAUUUGAAGGCACAUUACGAAUUAUGUAGCUAGUGUUACUGGUACUUGCACUACUGCAUGCUUGUGUUUGCAUUUUUUUAUCUCUAGAGGGAAUUUUGCAUAGUCUAAUUCCUCAGAUGAUGUGAUUCAGAUCUUAUACUCAUAAUCUUUGGUUAUGAACCUAUAGUAGUAUCAAAUUCAUUAACCACUUUGGCUGACCACAUUCCUUGGUUAUGAACCUACAGUAG
rnacentral:lncRNA from 1 species